AUUGAACGCUGGCGGCAUGCUUUACACAUGCAAGUCGAACGGUAACAGGGAGCUUGCUCCGCUGACGAGUGGCGAACGGGUGAGUAAUGCAUCGGAACGUGCCGUGUAGUGGGGGAUAACGUAGCGAAAGUUACGCUAAUACCGCAUACGCACUGAGGUGGAAAGCAGGGGAUCGCAAGACCUUGCGCUAUACGAGCGGCCGAUGUCAGAUUAGCUAGUUGGUAGGGUAAAGGCCUACCAAGGCGACGAUCUGUAGCGGGUCUGAGAGGACGAUCAGCCACACUGGGACUGAGACACGGCCCAGACUCCUACGGGAGGCAGCAGUGGGGAAUUUUGGACAAUGGGGGCAACCCUGAUCCAGCAAUGCCGCGUGAGUGAAGAAGGCCUUCGGGUUGUAAAGCUCUUUUGUCAGGGAAGAAACAGCAGCUCUAACACAGUCUGCGAAUGACGGUACCUGAAGAAUAAGCACCGGCUAACUACGUG
rnacentral:rRNA from 1 species